AAACUGCCUGAUGGAGGGGGAUAACUACUGGAAACGAUAGCUAAUACCGCAUAACAAUGGAUGACACAUGUCAUUUAUUUGAAAGGAGCAAUUGCUCCACUACAAGAUGGACCUGCGUUGUAUUAGCUAGUAGGUGAGGUAAUGGCUCACCUAGGCGACGAUACAUAGCCGACCUGAGAGGGUGAUCGGCCACACUGGGACUGAGACACGGCCCAGACUCCUACGGGAGGCAGCAUG
rnacentral:rRNA from 1 species